rnacentral:rRNA from 1 species
GGUGGGGGGUGCUUACCAUGCAGUCGACGAUGAAGCCCCUGCUUGCGGGGGUGGAUUAGUGGCGAACGGGUGAGUAACACGUGAGCAACCUGCCCCUGACUCUGGGAUAAGCGCUGGAAACGGUGUCUAAUACUGGAUAUGUGCCACGGCCGCAUGGUCUGUGGUUGGAAAGAUUUUUCGGUUGGGGAUGGGCUCGCGGCCUAUCAGCUUGUUGGUGAGGUAAUGGCUCACCAAGGCGUCGACGGGUAGCCGGCCUGAGAGGGUGACCGGCCACACUGGGACUGAGACACGGCCCAGACUCCUACGGGAGGCAGCAGUGGGGAAUAUUGCACAAUGGGCGGAAGCCUGAUGCAGCAACGCCGCGUGAGGGAUGACGGCCUUCGGGUUGUAAACCUCUUUUAGCAGGGAAGAAGCGAGAGUGACGGUACCUGCAGAAAAAGCACCGGCUAACUACGUGCCAGACC